CUGCUUGCUUCAGCAGCACAUACACUAAAAUUGGAACAAUACAGAGAAGAUUAGCAUGGGCCCUGACGCAAGGAUGACAUGCAAAUUCGAGAAGUGCUCCAUAUUUAA
rnacentral:snRNA from 1 species